AAGCUUCUAUAUGAUCCUUCCAACUCAUAGCACCACAAAUUGUUAUAGUAGUUCUCAAUAAAGCUUCCUGUGGCAUCUUUUUUUUUUUGUAUUAUAAAAAUGACAGAAGACCAAAGUCCACUUAGUUGAAUAUUUCCAAUAAAAUUUUGUUUGCCAUCAUUAUCCAUCCUAUUUCUAUAACUUGUAGCUUUCAUUGCUGUAAUUCUAUGUGUUGCCAAAUAAUCUUUAACCAAUACUUUUAUGCCUCUUUUAUCAAAGUUGAUUUGGAGAAGAUCAAUAGUAUCUUUCAAUGCAACUUUUCCAUCUUUCCAAUAAAUAAUGUCUUGUUGUACCAUCUCAUUAAUUCACCACAAUCUUUAUAAGAAUGAGAAUCAUUGUCACACCAAAUAUA
rnacentral:lncRNA from 1 species